rnacentral:lncRNA from 10 species
CCCGGCGACCUCUGUCAGGAGCGAGGGGAGGGCCGGGACGCCAGGGAUAAAGGGAAAGGCAGAGACCAGAGCUGCCCACCCAGGGACUCCCAGGGCAACAAAGCCAGGCAAACUGAGAGGUCUCCCCCACCCUUCUGCCUCCUGCGGUUGCGGCUUUAUUGUGGCCUCUGCUCCCCUGACACCUGCAUUUCACUUAGCGGGAGAGGCGGUGGCCAACUCAGCACAGGCUGCGGACUCAGCGUGGUGACAGAUCCCUCAAGCUAGAAGACUUCUGUUAGGAGAAGCGUUAUCCUGUCA